rnacentral:lncRNA from 1 species
GCAACCCUCCUGCCUUAGCCUCUGCUGUGUUGUGGUCAUUGUGUGACCCACUAUGCCCUUAGGGUAACUUUUUUGGUAUUUUAUGGUUUAUUCAUGGCACGGUACAGGUUAGAAACGACAUCUUUCAACCUAUUGCUACAAUUAAAGACCACACAGCAAGCCAGGUGUGGCACACACAGGAAGACUGUUUUGAGUUUGAGGCCAGCCAGGGCUACAUAUCUACCAAGCUAUCCUGGGCUACAUUUGACUCUCAGAACAUUGAAAGAAGGAGAAGAAGAAACAAGACUUACCCAGCACUCUGAGCCUGUGGCUGUAGACGAGAAGAGUUCAAAUGAUCCAGGACCCACGAAGCAAGCAGCAAAGCUCCCAGGCUAGCUCACCCUGUGCCCUUUGGAUUUUACUCUUGCCUCCACAGACUUCCCGUCUGGGUCUCCAGAGAGAUCGGAGAAGAGUGCAGCUGGUAGGGAAAGUGUGGCUUGGAAGCCCCAGAGUGAAACAGUGUUGGACCUCUGGAGGAUAAAGGAUUGUGGGUAUAAGAGAUAGAAAACAAGAGUGAGAACCCAUCUGAGAAGGAAGUGGCACCAGGAAGUGUCAGACUGAGCCAAUGAAAUGGAAAACCUGGAGGCCUCUGUGAUUAGCCUGAGCGGGCAAUCGGGUUUGCUGCUUCCUUCCUUCUCUUGCCUUUCUCGCUUCCCACC